rnacentral:rRNA from 1 species
AUUGAACGCUGGCGGCAGGCCUAACACAUGCAAGUCGAGCGGAUGAAGGGAGCUUGCUCCUGGAUUCAGCGGCGGACGGGUGAGUAAUGCCUAGGAAUCUGCCUGGUAGUGGGGGAUAACGUCCGGAAACGGGCGCUAAUACCGCAUACGUCCUGAGGGAGAAAGUGGGGGAUCUUCGGACCUCACGCUAUCAGAUGAGCCUAGGUCGGAUUAGCUAGUUGGUGGGGUAAAGGCCUACCAAGGCGACGAUCCGUAACUGGUCUGAGAGGAUGAUCAGUCACACUGGAACUGAGACACGGUCCAGCCUCCUACGGGAGGCAGCAGUGGGGAAUAUUGGACAAUGGGCGAAAGCCUGAUCCAGCCAUGCCGCGUGGGUGAAGAAGGUCUUCGGAUUGUAAAGCACUUUAAGUUGGGAGGAAGGGCAGUAAGUUAAUACCUUGCUGUUUUGACGUUACCAACAGAAUAAGCACCGGCUAACUUCGU